rnacentral:rRNA from 1 species
AAGGCGGCCCCCUGGACAAAGACUGACGCUCAGGUGCGAAAGCGUGGGGAGCAAACAGGAUUAGAUACCCUGGUAGUCCACGCCGUAAACGAUGUCGAUUUGGAGGUUGUGCCCUUGAGGCGUGGCUUCCGGAGCUAACGCGUUAAAUCGACCGCCUGGGGAGUACGGCCGCAAGGUUAAAACUCAAAUGAAUUGACGGGGGCCCGCACAAGCGGUGGAGCAUGUGGUUUAAUUCGAUGCAACGCGAAGAACCUUACCUGGUCUUGACAUCCACAGAACUUUCCAGAGAUGGAUUGGUGCCUUCGGGAACUGUGAGACAGGUGCUGCAUGGCUGUCGUCAGCUCGUGUUGUGAAAUGUUGGGUUAAGUCCCGCAACGAGCGCAACCC